GGUGAACGCUGGCGGUAGGCCUAACACAUGCAAGUCGAACGGCAGCACAGUAAGAGCUUGCUCUUACGGGUGGCGAGUGGCGGACGGGUGAGGAAUACAUCGGAAUCUACUUUUUCGUGGGGGAUAACGUAGGGAAACUUACUCUAAUACCGCAUACGACCUACGGUUGAAAGCAGGGGAUCUUCGGACCUUGCGCGAUUGAAUGAGCCGAUGUCGGAUUAGCUAGUUGGCGGGGUAAAGGCCCACCAAGGCGACGAUCCGUAGCUGGUCUGAGUGGAUGGGCAGCCACACUGGGAGUGAGACACGGUCCAGAGUGCUACGGGAGGCAGCAGUGGGGCAUAUUGGGCAAUGGGCGCAAGACUGAUCCAGCCAUACCGAGUGGGGGAAGAAGGCCGUCGGGUUGUAAAGGCCUUUUGUUGGGAAAGAAAAGCAGCAGGUUAAUACCCCGCUGUUCUGACGGUAACCAAAGAAUAAGCACCGGCUAACUUAGUGC
rnacentral:rRNA from 1 species